rnacentral:rRNA from 1 species
GUAGAGAUCUGGAGGAAUACCGGUGGCGAAGUCGUCCCCGUGGACAAAGACUGACGCUCAGGUGCGAGAGCGUGGUGAGCAAACAGGAUCAGAUACCCUGGUAGUACACGCCGUAACUGAUGUCGACUGAGAGGUUGUGCCCGUGAGGCGUGGCCUCCGGAGCUAACGCGUUAAGUCGACCGCCUGGGGAGUACGGCCGCAAGGUUAAAACUCAAAUGAAUUGACGGGGGCCCGCACAAGCGGUGGAGCAUGUGGUUUAAUUCGAUGCAACGCGAAGAACCUUACCUACUCUUGACAUCCAGAGAACUUAGCAGAGAUGGUUUGGUGCCUUCGGGAACUCUGAGACAGGUGCUGCAUGGCUGUCGUCAGCUCGUGUUGUGAAAUGUUGGGUUAAGUCCCGCAACGAGCGCAACCCUUCUCCUCAGUUGCCAGCGGUCCGGCCGGGAACUCAAAGGAGACUGCCAGUGAUAAACUGGAGGAAGGUGGGGAUGACGUCAAGUCAUCAUGGCCCUUACGAGUAGGGCUACACACGUGCUACAAUGGCGCAUACAAAGAGAAGCGACCUCGCGAGAGCAAGCGGACCUCAUAAAGUGCGUCGUAGUCCGGAUUGGAGUCUGCAACUCGACUCCAUGAAGUCGGAAUCGCUAGUAAUCGUAGAUCAGAAUGCUACGGUGAAUACGUUCCCGGGCCUUGUACACACCGCCCGUCACACCAUGGGAGUGGGUUGCAAAAGAAGUAGGUAGCUUAACCUUCGGGAGGGCGC